GGCGCCCAGUGCGGUGACGCAACCGAUCCCGGAGAAGCCGGCGGGAGCCCCGGGGAGAGUUCUCUUUUCUUUGUGAAGGGCCGGGCGCCCUGGAAUGGGUUCGCCCCGAGAGAGGGGCCCGCGCCUUGGAAAGCGUCGCGGUUCCGGCGGCGUCCGGUGAGCUCUCGCUGGCCCGUGAAAAUCCGGGGGAGAGGGUGUAAGUCUCGCGCCGGGCCGUACCCAUAUCCGCAGCAGGUCUCCAAGGUGA
rnacentral:ncRNA from 1 species